GUCAGUUGGGACCCCCGACAAGGUUUAAUUAACAUUGUUAAAAAAAAGUCAGUUGGGAUCCCUGAGAAGGUUUAAUUAACAUUUUUAAAAAAAGUCAGUUGGGACCCCCGAGAAGGUUUAAUUAACAUUGUUAAAAAAAGUCAG